rnacentral:rRNA from 1 species
GACGAACGCUGGCGGCGUGCUUAACACAUGCAAGUCGAACGGAAAGGCCCUGCUUUUGUGGGGUGCUCGAGUGGCGAACGGGUGAGUAACACGUGAGUAACCUGCCCYUGACUUUGGGAUAACUUCAGGAAACUGGGGCUAAUACCGGAUAGGAGCUCCUGCUGCAUGGUGGGGGUUGGAAAGUUUCGGCGGUUGGGGAUGGACUCGCGGCUUAUCAGCUUGUUGGUGGGGUAGUGGCUUACCAAGGCUUUGACSGGUAGCCGGCCUGAGAGGGUGACCGGCCACAUUGGGACUGAGAUACGGCCCAGACUCSUACGGGAGGCRGCAGUSGGGAAUAUUGCACAAUGGGCGGAAGGUGAUGCAGCAACGCCGCGUGCGGGAUGACGGCCUUCGAGUUGUAAACCGUCUCGCCUGUGACGAAGCGU